rnacentral:tRNA from 1 species
UGAAGUGUAGCCUAGUGGUAGGGCGCUUGCCUAGCAAGCACAAAGCUCUGGGUCCUAGCCCCAGAACUACAA